rnacentral:lncRNA from 1 species
GCUCUAAGCACUUAGCCCUCAGCAGCUCUGACUGUAAGAGAAAUUGUAUCUUGUUCACCACGCAGCCUGAAUCGGUGGAUGUGGUCGCCAGAUGCCAGGAGAAGUCACCUGCCAUUUGCAGCCAUCCUCAAUACACCAAGUCAGCAUUUCAAUUCACGAAAGCUCCCAAGACAGAUGUGAAACAGAAAGACGCCAUUGUGGGAAAAUGCCUUUCCUUCUCUGGACAUAUCUAAAUAGAGUUGGAGGAAUUACUGAACACACCAUGACUGCAAAGUCUCGCCCAAGAUCAUGUGGGAAGGACUUUCGAAGAACUCCCUGAUUCUAAGAAAAAAUUAGAAGGAAGAGUCACAAUCACUUAUUAACUUUUUGUUUGCUUCUUUUAUCUGCUCCUCCGUGAGACAGGCCUGACAAGUGUCACCUGAACAAGGGGUCAAAGCCAUUCCAUUCCAUGCAUGCGGCACUGCAAUUUUAAACAACUGCGGCUUGAGACAAAGAUCCUCCCGAGAAAGCGAAAUCCAACAGAGUUUGCAGUUUCCAGCUUCGGUGCUUCCUGAAUUAUACAUGGGCAAAACCCCCUUGAAGGCUGCUUUUUAAGCCGUGAGGGGAAGGCGUGUAAUUUUGGUCUCUAGCAUUCUGCUGAAACACUUGCUGAGGACAAGGCCCCUUCCUCGCCAAGUGGCGUUUGCCUCCAAACCAAACAGGGGACUUUGACGCCUCAAAUAGCUUCAAGCUGCCAGCAGAAAGGAGGCAAAGGGGACUGGCACUUCCUCUCUUUGCCAGUCUUGAAUCCUGAGGGUUCAGAGAGACUGGGAAACUGGGUUCCUGUCCCUGCAGUGGCAGCUGUGACACAGGCCAGGGUGACAUUCUUCCCCUUCCUGGCUGGAAAGAGGGAAAGUGCUGUAAACCUCUGGAAAGGGACAGGAGGCCAGGAGAAGUGGACUGAGCCAGGGCAGGCGAGGCACAGUAGGGUCCAGCUAGGGUGUAGGCAGCCCGGCCACCCUCUCCGAAAGACAACUGCUCCAGGUCCAGACUGCCCAGCAGUGGGACGCCAGGCACAACAGGGACAGUGACACUUCCCACUUCUAUAAUGGAGCAACUGGUCUUCAGGGCUCUGUAGCUGCAAAAUGCUACCCACUGGGAGGGAGUUCUUGAGACUGUCUUCUCUCCCUGAGGUUUGCCUAAGGUUAGUGGGUGAUGGCAUUCAGAGGACCUGACUUGGCUGCCAGACUGGAUACUUUUGAAGUGCUCAAAGUCCACAUCCUGAGGCAAAGUGAAGGGCAGAGGCCACCACCUAGACCUUCCAGACUUAAGCAUCAAGGAGUCCCCUUAGCCUGUUUACACCCUUCGGCAACAGGGGCAGAGGAGCACGGCUGGAAGUGCAUUUGCUAAAGAACCUCACUUCUACCGAUCUCCUUUUCCACGCACUUACAAACGGACCAGUGGUUGCAAAAGUGAGUCUCUCCUCGCUGAACUGCUCUGCUGUUUCCAGUUUCUGAGGGGCCAUCUCGGGCAAGGCUUGGAUGGGGCAGGGCCUUCUCUAGGUCUUGGGACCGCCCCUCGUUGCAGGAGACAAAACUCCUUCCCACAUCCCACAUCCAGGCUUCUCUGAUGCAUCUCCAGGGGUCUGCGUUCUCCUUCCCAGCCCUGGGAGCUUUAUUUCAAGCUGAGAUACAAUGACAG